CUGGCCGUAAACGAUGUAGACUGAGCGUUGGUUGGGUAAAACCAAUCAGUGCUGAAGCAAACGCGAUAAGUCUACCGCCUGGGGAGUACGGUCGCAAGAUUAAAACUCAAAGGAAUUGAC
rnacentral:rRNA from 1 species